AUGAAUUUCACAGAUAAGUUGAAUAAUACAUAGUUAUUUUUUUUUAAUCUUAUUUAUUCGGGACAGUGCACAUUAAUGAACAAUCUAACAUUUCUGUACAGACUGUAAAUGAGCCAGGUUAUAGCAUAAAUGCUAAUUUUCACCUGUAGUCCAGUUCACCUGUAAAGUAACACAAUACACACAAGAUUUUGGUAACUCCAUGAACAAAAUUCCAUUCACCACCAUUGAAUUGGAAAAAAGACAGAAAUCUCAAAGCAUAGAUGCAUAAAACC